GAUGAACGCUGGCGGCGUGCUUAACACAUGCAAGUCGAACGAUAAAGCCCAGCUUGCUGGGUGCAUUAGUGGCGAACGGGUGAGUAACACGUGAGUAAUCUGCCCUGCACUCUAGGAUAAGCCUGGGAAACUGGGUCUAAUACUGGAUAGGAACGUCUACCGCAUGGUGGGUGUUGGAGAGUUUUUGGUGCAGGGAUAGCCUGCGGGCUAAUCGCGUGUUGGUGGGGUAAUGGCCUACCAAGGCGGAGACGGGUAAGCGGCCCUAGGGGGUGGACCGCCACAUUGGGACUGAGAGACGGCCCCGACUCCUACGGGGGGCAGCAGUGGGGAAAAUUGCACAAUGGGGGCAAGCCUGAUGCAGCGACGCCGCGUGGGGGAUGACGGCCUUCGGGUUGUAAACACCUUUCGCUAGGGACGAAGCGUUUUGUGACGGUACCUAGAGAAGAAGCACCGGCUAACUACGUG
rnacentral:rRNA from 1 species